UACAGAGGUCUCAAGCGUUGUUCGGAUUCAUUGGGCGUAAAGGGUGCGUAGGCGGCGCGGUAAGUCGGGUGUGAAAUCUUGGAGCUUAACUCCGAAACUGCAUUCGAUACUGGCGUGCUUGAGGACUGGAGAGGAGACUGGAAUUCAUGGUGUAGCAGUGAAAUGCGUAGAGAUCAUGAGGAAGACCAGUGGCGAAGGCGGGUCUCUGGACAGUUCCUGACACUGAGACACGAAGGCCAGGGGAGCAAACGGG
rnacentral:rRNA from 1 species